AAACACAUUCACGUAUUAUUAUCUCACUAUAUGGAAGAAUGCCCUCAAUUGGUUAUUUAUCAAGAAAAUCCGAUUCCGAAUCCAAUUUUUAAUCCUGCUACAUUGGUUUCAUUAUGCGAAUCUGCCAUUGCAAAAGAGAAAAAAUGUAUCGAAGUAUUUGAAAAGGAAUGUGAUGCCAAAUACUAUCAACUAACAAUACUGGCAACUCCAUUUAAAAUACAUUGGGCGUUUUUGUCGCAACAAGGGCGCUAUCUGAGCGACUUGGCAAGUAACAGUAAUUAAUAGGCAUUUAUGUCAAGGGCUGUGAUUGGUCGAUUUAAAUCUCGCGGAUAUCAGUAGUACCACACAACACACACAACAAACUAAAAAAAAACGAACUGAUAAAACAUCAUUAUCCCGCAAAAUUCAAUUCAACCAAUCAGAAUGCUUCUAAUAGGAUUUAGUUACUUGCCUGGCCGCUAGGAGGAUUAAACAUCAUUUUUCAACAGAGUUGCCAGUAUUGUUAGUUGAUAGUAUUUGGUGAUGCUUUAAAUAGUUCCAUUAAAGAAAAAUUAUCAAGCAGCAGCCAAUGGAUAAUCUACAAAACGUCGUUGAUGCAAACAUUGUCGAAGAUCAGCGCAAUGGCGAAAAUGAAAAAUAAUUAUGAAAAAAAUGUAAUCGCAUCGUCCACGAAUUCGAAUUCUAUCAUUCGUGGUUCUUUCACUAAGCAGAAACGCACAUUUUCUUCGAAAAAGAAGAGUGCUACUGCUAUGGGACCUGACUGAUGAUGAAACAAUAAAACAUCAAAACUGGCAAAA